UAUGCUAAAGCUUACAAUCUAACUGACCCUGUCGUAGCUGCUAAGAUUAACAGAGCUUUUGACGACGAUCCAGAAGCAUCCGUUUCCAAUCCCAAUGUGACCAUGUGGCAGCUCUGGUCAGUACACAUCGUCGGGGGCCAGCCAGGCGAGGCC